rnacentral:rRNA from 1 species
UACGUAGGCAGCAAGCGUUGUUCGGAUUUACUGGGCGUAAAGAGUGUGUAGGCGGUGCUCUAAGUCUGUUGUGAAAUCUCCCGGCUUAACUGGGAGAGGGCGGCGGAGACUGGAGUGCUAGAGUGUGGGAGAGGUAAGCGGAAUUCCUGGUGUAGCGGUGAAAUGCGUAGAUAUCAGGAGGAACACCUGUGGUGUAGACAGCUUACUGGACCGCGACUGACGCUGAGACACGAAAGCGUGGGUAGCAAACAGG